GACAGAGGGGGCAAGCGUUGCUCGGAAUCACUGGGCGUAAAGGGCGCGUAGGCGGCCUGCUAAGUCGGAUGUGAAAUCCCUCGGCUCAACCGAGGAACUGCAUCCGAUACUGGCAGGCUUGAAUCCGGGAGAGGGAUGCGGAAUUCCAGGUGUAGCGGUGAAAUGCGUAGAUAUCUGGAGGAACACCGGUGGCGAAGGCGGCAUCCUGGACCGGCAUUGACGCUGAGGCGCGAAAGCCAGGGGAGCAAAGCGGG
rnacentral:rRNA from 1 species